rnacentral:sRNA from 1 species
GCCGGGCAUGGUGGCGCAUGCCUGUAAUCCCAGCUACUCGGGAGGCUGAGGCAGGAGAAUCGCUUGAACCUGGGAGGUGGAGGAGCUUGAACCCGGGAGGAACUCAGUGAGCCGAGAUUAUGCCAUUGCACUCCAGCCUGGGUGACAGAGCGAUACUCUGUCUCAA